rnacentral:rRNA from 1 species
UGGGGAAUUUUGGACAAUGGGGGAAACCCUGAUCCAGCCAUCCCGCGUGUGCGAUGAAGGCCUUCGGGUUGUAAAGCACUUUUGGCAGGAAAGAAACGUCAUGGGUUAAUACCCCGUGAAACUGACGGUACCUGCAGAAUAAGCACCGGCUAACUACGUGCCAGCAGCCGCGGUAAUACGUAGGGUGCAAGCGUUAAUCGGAAUUACUGGGCGUAAAGCGUGCGCAGGCGGUUCGGAAAGAAAGAUGUGAAAUACCAGAGCUCAACUUUGGAACUGCAUUUUUAACUACCGGGCUAGAGUGUGUCAGAGGGAGGUGGAAUUCCGCGUGUAGCAGUGAAAUGCGUAGAUAUGCGGAGGAACACCGAUGGCGAAGGCAGCCUCCUGGGAUAACACUGACGCUCAUGCACGAAAGCGUGGGGAGCAAACAGG